rnacentral:lncRNA from 1 species
UCCAGCGCCUGUCUCUUCUUCCCCACUCCUGCAGGCAAUACAGUACGGUACCGAAGACAACAGCACUGCAGUAGUGGUGCCCUUUGGUGCUUGGGGAAAAUACAAGAACUCUGAAAUUACCUUCUCAUUCAGCAGAAGCUUUGCCUCCAGUGGGAGAUGGGCCUGAUCGACAGCUCAGACUCGGAGUUCCUAUGCAGCAGUGUCAGUGGGCUUAUCAAGAAACUGGUAACACACAGAAGGCCACCUGUACCCGUGUGUCAUUGUGACUGAUCGAUCCUAACAGUAUAAGCUUACCAGCCACAUACCCAGUAGUAUUUUCAUAAAUCCUCAUCAUCAUUAUGGUCAACUGCACAUGCUCAGUGUAAGCAUCAUAACACAGCUGUGAAGCCGCUGUGCAUCUCUGAGCUGAAUGGGAGAAGAAGCGGUUUUGGUCCAUUUGAUGAGUGAUGAAUCUGUGUUUCCUUUGUAAGGCUAGAGAUUGAAUCUGGGGCUUUCUAAGUUUUUAAGACUAAGAGGCAGAUUUAGUUUCUUUUUAGUAAGUUUGUUCUUUAUUCAGUUGGACAGGUAUUUUUUUUUUUGAAUUUUGAUAGCUGGUCAAUGUGUUAUUUGCAAGUGUUCCUUUUUCCUUUCUCUGUAGAAAGCAGGUUUUCACUGGCUGACCUUGAACUCCUGGGUUCAAAUGGUCUUCCUAACGUCAGCUUCCUGAGUACCUUUUAAUUUUUUUUUUUUUAAAGCAGAACAAGCAUAUUUUUUCCCAAGAAGAGUGAGAACAUAUACCUAGGAGAUGGGGGCAUUCCAAGGGAGGGAUACAAGGGAUAUAAGAGAUAAAGGGAUACAAGGUACAUUUUAAUAAAUGUACCUAGGAGUUAUAAUAAAGCCUAGGUUCUCUAUGACUGAAUAGUGUACUCUGGAUCACUUAUUAGUAAAUUUAACCCUGCAAAAUACAUGGCUAAAGUGUAUACAUAUUUAUAAAUAGCUCUCUUGUGUAUUUUAAAUAUUUUUAGCACUUCCCCAUCCAUUUCUAUUUUUGUGGAGUUAAAUAUGCUAUAUAUUGGUAACUGUUCGGUAAGCUCCAGAGAAGAAUAUUCUGAGGCUUUGGUCAAAAUCUGUAAAGUGAAACACUGACAGUGCCAAUCUUGUGUAAGUUUGUUGCUGUGUGGUUUGUAUGUAGCGUUUUUAUACCACUUUCUGUGCACACAGUAAGCGAGUUGGGGCCUUUGUUAGUAAAGAUAAUAUUACAAUGACUUAUACUGCUAUAGACAUAGCUUGGGGUUUAUGUCUCCAAUUUCCUCAUUUCUAAGAUUCAUGCGGAAAAAAAAAUCUUUUACAAAGGAUAUUCAAACAUGUCAGCUUGCUAUGUAAAUUAGGGGUGUAAAACCACACUCCUUUUUACCUGCAUAUAAAAUUACUGUCAAACUGUGAAUCCCUGAAUGUGUGCUUGUAGUUAAUCUAUAUUUUCACAGGGUAAUUUAAAUUUAGUAUAUGUGCAGUGAGUGUAUAUAUGUAUAUUUUGAAGU